rnacentral:rRNA from 1 species
UUGGCAUCUGGCCUAGAUUGAACGCUGGCGGGAUGCUUUACAAUACGUGCAAGUCGAACGGCAGCACGGACUUCGGUCUGGUGGCGAGUGGCGAACGGGUGAGUAAUGUAUCGGAACGUGCCUAGUAGCGGGGAUAACUACGUGCGAAAGCGUAGCUAAUACCGUAUACGCCCCUUCGGGGGAAAGCGGGGACCUUCGGGCCCCGCACUAGAGCGGGCUGAUAUCGGAUUAGCUAGUUGGUGGGGUAACGCUCACCGGGCGACGAUCUGUGGCUGGUUUGAGAGGAUGACUAGUUACACUGGGACCGGGAGACACGGCCCAGGAUUUCCUACGGAGGCAGUAGUGGGGGAAUUUUGGAUAAAUGGGAAACCUGAUCCAGCCAUCCUGCGUGUGCGAUGAAGGCCUUUUGGGUUGUAAAGCACUUUUUGGUAGGAAAGAAACGGCACGGGAUAAUACCCCGUGCAACUGACGGUACCUGCAGAAUAAGCACCGGCUAACUACGUGCCAGCAGCCGCGGUAAUACGUAGGGCAAGCGUUAAUCGGAAUUACUGGGCGUAAAAGCGUGCGCAGGUGGUUCGGAAAGAAAGAUGAAAUCCCAGAGCUUAAUCUCCUUGGAACUGCAUUUUUAACUACCGAGCUAGGAGUGCGUCAGAGGGGGAGGUGGAAUUCCGCGUAGCAGUGAAUGCGUAGAUAUGUGGAGGAACACCGAUGGCGAAGGCAGCCUUGGGAUAACACUGACGCUCAUGUACGAAAGCGUGGGGAGCAAACAGGAUUAGAUACUCUGGUAGUCCACGCCCUAAACGAUGUCAACUAGCUGCUGGGGGCCUUCGGGCUUCCAGCGCAGUGCUAACGCGUGGAAGUUGACCGCCUGGGGAGUACGGACGCAGAUUAAAAACUCAGCGAAUUGACGGGGACCCGCACAAGUGUGGUGGAUGAUGUGGAUUAAUUCGAUGCAACGCGAAAAUCCUUACCUACUUCCUUGACAUGUCUGGAAUCCCGAAGAGAUUUGGGAGUGCCGGGGUGCAAGAGAACCGGAACACAGGUGCUGCAUGCAGUUGUCGUCAGCCUGUGUCGUGAGAUGUUGGGUUAAGUCCCGCAACGAGCGCAACCCUUGUCAUUAAGUUGCUACGAAAGGGCACUCUCUAAUGAGACUGCUUUGCGAUGAAAUCCCAGGAAGCUGGUGGGGAUGAUCGUCCUCAUGGCCCUUAUGGGUAGGGCUUCACACGUCAUACAAUGGUCGGGACAGAGGGUCGCCAACCCGCGAGAGGGGAGCCAAUCCCAGAAACCCGAUCAGUCCGGACGCAGUCUGCAACUCGACUGCGUGAAGUCGGAAUCGCUAGUAAUCGCGGAUCAGCAUGUCGCGGAGAAUACGUUCUGGGUCUUGUACACACCGCCCGUCACACCAUGGGAGUGGGUUUUACCAGAAGUAAAGGCCUAACCGUAAGGAGGGCGACGGCCACGGCAGGAUUCAUGACUGGGGUGAAGUUUAACAAGGUAA